UGUUCUUCUACUCACCUACAUCGUUCCUUCUACCCUUCUCCAUAGUCCCAUCGCUCCUCUUCUCCAUUGUUCCUCCACUCUCACAGCAAAAUCUCAUCAAACCCUAAAUCGUUACACUCUUGUUUAACCUCCAUCUCCGUUGAACCCUAAAUCUCGUGAUUUCUCUCUCAAACCAACACCUCACUAUCGAACCCUAAUUUCUUGCUCUCAACACCUUUGUUGUUCUCACCUCCUUCUUAUACUUCUUUUAUGUGUGUUUCAGGUUAUUGCAAGAAAGGUCGAGAAUCAAUAUACCUCGAAGGGAAAUUCUCAAUGUAACAACCGUUAUAUCUCCACAUUUUCUAUACUUUUCGCCCCUGGACCUGUACAAGGAUAUACUAGUUGGUGCAUUUGAAAGGGUUAUUAUGGUGUGACUUUGAAAUUGAAAUAUAGGCCAUUGUAAUAAGCUUACAUUGUUCCUCGAAACCUAUUGGACCAUAUGUAUGGAGGACAUAUAAGAAAGCUUUUGACGAAGUUUUGCAAAUCUAUUCUGCUAUAAGAGCUUCUGGUGUUGAACAUGUAAGUGUUUAAUUUUCAAAAGAGCUAAUUCACCCAUGAUGUCUACUUACAUUACAAUAGACAAUUAGUUUGUCUUCCUCAUCGACGGCAUUAAGUAAGCUGACAUACUCAAAAUCUGUGUAAUAUUAAGUUUGCGAUUUGUCCGUUGUAAUAUUCAUAUGGGUUCAUAUAGAAUGGCUAUUGUCUUUGACUAAGUAAUAAAACAGUUCAUAUGAGUUUUGUAGUCAUUCAAGUGAGAGGGUUGAAUAUUAUUAGCCUUUGGAUUAAAAUAAAAGGUGGAGAUUAAAAUACUCAUUAAAAGAAACAUGUGAUAUCUGAACUUUGAAUAUACACGCUUCCAGCAGUUGUACAAAAUAUUGCUGGGAUGAGAAUUGUGUUAGGGAAAAAUUAAAUAGAUAUAGUGUGCAAAGACAAAGAUAAAGUAUGUUCCUUUAGAUCUUAUGUAUCAGCAAGAGUUCAAGUAACAAGGACAGAGUUCAAGUAACACUAGAUUUUAUUUAGUUUUUACUACCAAGAAUUGAUUAGAAAUAUAGUCCCAGGAAUGACUACAUGUUCUUAUAUUUUAGUAUAUUUGUGUUAUUAUGUUACAU